ACGGGAGGCAGCAGUAGGGAAUCUUCCGCAAUGGACGAAAGUCUGACGGAGCAACGCCGCGUGAGUGAUGAAGGCUUUCGGGUCGUAAAACUCUGUUGUUAGGGAAGAACAAGUACAAGAGUAACUGCUUGUACCUUGACGGUACCUAACCAGAAAGCCACGGCUAACUACGUGCCAGCAGCCGCGGUAAUACGUAGGUGGCAAGCGUUAUCCGGAAUUAUUGGGCGUAAAGCGCGCGCAGGCGGUUUCUUAAGUCUGAUGUGAAAGCCCACGGCUCAACCGUGGAGGGUCAUUGGAAACUGGGGAACUUGAGUGCAGAAGAGAAAAGCGGAAUUCCACGUGUAGCGGUGAAAUGCGUAGAGAUGUGGAGGAACACCAGUGGCGAAGGCGGCUUUUUGGUCUGUAACUGACGCUGAGGCGCGAAAGCGUGGGGAGCAAACAGGAUUAGAUACCCUGGUA
rnacentral:rRNA from 1 species